UUCUGUUAAAGUAUCAAUUAGACAUCAACUAAAAUUCUACCUAUUAAUUUUCCUUUUGUGACCUAAAAAUUCAAAAUCUCAUCCCCUAUAAAACCUUUCGUACACACUUUCCUGCGUAUUCUUCUUUGAGGUGUUUGUGCGUUAAAUUGGGCUCGUCUGUUUCUUCUUAAUGUAGGAGGUGCAAGCUAGGAGAGAGGAAAAUGGACACAUAUUUCACCCUAUCUCAUAGAAAUAAAGAGGUUAUUUUUGAAAGAUGCUGACUCAGAAUUUGUAAUUUUUAUUGAUUCUGGAGGAGAUCAGAGCAGGAUUAGAGUCAAAUCAUUAUGGGAUGCAACAAGGACAUAUUGCUCACAUGCGUUUCCUAGGGGAAUUAUAUAACUAUGAACUUUUGAUUUCUAUGUGAUAUUUAGAGGUAUGACCUGUUAACCAAUCUUCAGUUGAAAAAGUUUAUGUUACAUUAAUCAUUUCAAGAGAAUGUGGCACUACAAGACUGAUAGUCCUAGAGUGUUGGAACAUAUAAGUUAUGCACUGCAAGACCAACAUUGGAACUUAUUCUCAUUUUGCGAAUCCUAAAAUUCAGUUUGCAUGUUCCUAACUUCUGAUGUAAGUGUUUAAAAUUUGAAACUGGAGAAAGUGUGGGAGUUGUGAAAACAAUGCAUGAUUGGAUUUUCAUUGAUGUAUGUAUAGUAGUCCUAUUUUUCACGGUUCAGAUCACUGGCUUUUGUAUUUGAAUAUUUAGAGAAGAGAGUGAGAAAGUGACAUGCAAGAAAGAAAGAAAUAACAACACAACUGGAAACGAAUUUGUGUUUGUCUUUCGAUUUGAUAGUGGUAUAUCAUUUAGUUUAAAUUUGAAGGUAACAUGCAAAAAGAAAGAAAUAAGAAUAAAACUGGAAAUAUACAUGUGUUCUUUCAAUUUGAUAGUGGGUAUUUUAUUUAUAGCCUGCUUGGUCAAGUUUAUCUUUUUUCAAAAGUAUUUAUUUUUUCUUAAAAGUGCUUAUUGUAAAAAAUUAAGUUGUUUGGCCAAGUUUAUGAAAGAAAUAAAUGCUUUUGAAGAGUAGAAUAAGUAUUUUUUCACAAGCUAAAAAAAGUAAUUUUUUUUUCCUAAAACACUUUUUAUAAAAUAUACUUAAAAACAGUUUUAAAAGUAUGGUCAAACACUAAUUGCUAUUCAAAAAUAUUCUUUAAAUUUAUUGACCAAUUUUAAAUCGUUUCUAGCCAAAAAUACCUUAUAUCAUUUAGUUUGAGCUUGAAGGUAAUAUGCAAGAAGAAAUAAAUAAGAAUAAAACUGAAAAUGUACAGGUGUUCUUUCAAUUUGAUAGUGGGCAUUUUAUUUAUAGGCUGUUUGGUCAAGUUUAUCUUUUUUCAAAUGUACUUAUUUUUUCUUAAAAGUGCUUAUUGUAAAAAAUUAAGUUGUUUGGCCAAAUUUAUGAAAGAAAAUAAGUGCUUUUAGAGAGUAGAAUACAUAUUUUUUCACAAGCUAAAAAAAGUAGUUUUUUCCUAAAGCACUUUUUAUAAAAUAUACUUAAAAACAGUUUUAAAAGUUUAAUCAAACACUAAUUGCUGUUCAAAAAUAUUCUUUAAAUUUAUUGACCAAU